rnacentral:rRNA from 1 species
UACGUAGGGUGCGAGCGUUGUCCGGAAUUAUUGGGCGUAAAGAGCUUGUAGGCGGUUUGUCGCGUCUGCUGUGAAAAUCCGGGGCUCAACCCCGGACUUGCAGUGGGUACGGGUAGACUAGAGUGUGGUAGGGGAGACUGGAAUUCCUGGUGUAGCGGUGAAAUGCGCAGAUAUCAGGAGGAACACCGAUGGCGAAGGCAGGUCUCUGGGCCACUACUGACGCUGAGAAGCGAAAGCAUGGGGAGCGAACAGG